GAUGAACGCUGGCGGCGUGCCUAAUACAUGCAGGUCGAGCGAACGGACGAGAAGCUUGCUUCUCUGAUGUUAGCGGCGGACGGGUGAGUAACACGUGGAUAACCUACCUAUAAGACUGGGAUAACUUCGGGAAACCGGAGCUAAUACCGGAUAAUAUUUUGAACCGCAUGGUUCAAAAGUGAAAGACGGUCUUGCUGGCACUUAUAGAUGGAUCCGCGCUGCAUUAGCUAGUUGGUAAGGUAACGGCUUACCAAGGCAACGAUGCAUAGCCGACCUGAGAGAGUGAUCGGCCACACUGGAACUGAGACACGGUCCAGACUCCUACGGGAGGCAGCAGUAUGGAAUCGUACGCAAUGGGCGAAAGCCUGACGGAGCAACGCCACGUGAGUGAUGAAGGUCUUCGGAUCGUAAAACUCUGUUAUGAGGGAAGAACAUAUGUGUAAGUAACUGUGCACAGCUUGACGGUACCUAAUCAGAAAGCCACGGCUAACUACGUG
rnacentral:rRNA from 1 species